CGGGGAUACCGCAGCCUCCCCCUCAGAUGGAUUUCCAUCCAAGCGCGC
rnacentral:ncRNA from 1 species